AUACAGAGGGUGCAAACGUUGUUCGGAAUUACUGGGCAUAAAGCGUGCGUAGGCGGUUUUGUAAGUGUGAAGUGAAAGCCCACGGCUUACCCGUGGAACUGCUUUGCAUACUGCAGAACUAGAGGAUGGUAGGGGAAAGCGGAACUCUUGGAGGAGCGGUGAAAUGCGUAGAUAUCAAGAGGAACACCAAUGGCGAAGGCAGCUUUCUGGUCCAUUUCUGACGCUGAGGUACGAAAGCUAGGGUAGCGAACGGGAUUAGAAACCCUAGUAGUCC
rnacentral:rRNA from 1 species